AGGUCAAAGACACACUGCUAAUGUGUUGCCCGGGCAACCGGGCCGAGGGUUCAAAUCCCUCCGUUUCCGCCA
rnacentral:tRNA from 1 species